UACGUAGGGGGCAAGCGUUGUCCGGAUUCAUUGGGCGUAAAGAGCGUGUAGGCGGCCAGGUAGGUCGGUUGUGAAAACUGGAGGCUCAACCUUCAGAGGUCGACCGAAACCAUCUGGCUAGAGUCCGGGAGAGGAGAGUGGAAUUCCUGGUGUAGCGGUGAAAUGCGCAGAUAUCAGGAAGAACACCCGUGGCGAAAAGCGGCUCUCUGGAACGGUACUGACGCUGAGACGCGAAAGCGUGGGGAGCGAACAGG
rnacentral:rRNA from 1 species